rnacentral:rRNA from 1 species
AGAAUCAACGCUGGCGGCGUGCCUAACACAUGCAAGUCGAACGAGAAAGUGGAGCAAUCCAUGAGUAAAGUGGCGACCGGGUGAGUAACACGUGACUAACCUACCUUCGAGUGGGGGAUAACAUCGGGAAACCGAUGCUAAUACCGCAUAAUAUCGCAAGAUCAAAGCAGCAAUGCGCUGGAAGAGGGGGUCGCGGCUGAUUAGCUAGUUGGCGGGGUAACGGCCCACCAAGGCGAAGAUCGGUA